rnacentral:rRNA from 1 species
AGCGAACGCUGGCGGCAGGCCUAACACAUGCAAGUCGAACGAACUCUUCGGAGUUAGUGGCGGACGGGUGAGGAACACGUGGGAACGUGCCUUUAGGUUCGGAAUAACUCAGGGAAACUUGUGCUAAUACCGAAUGUGCCCUUCGGGGGAAAGAUUUAUCGCCUUUAGAGCGGCCCGCGUCUGAUUAGCUAGUUGGUGAGGUAAAGGCUCACCAAGGCGACGAUCAGUAGCUGGUCUGAGAGGAUGAUCAGCCACAUUGGGACUGAGACACGGCCCAAACUCCUACGGGAGGCAGCAGUGGGGAAUCUUGCGCAAUGGGCGAAAGCAUGAAGCAGCCCUGCCGCGUGAAUGCUGUAGGUCUUAGGAUUGUAAAAUUCUUUCACCGGGGACGAUCAUGACGGUACCCGGAGAAGAAGCCCCGGCUAACUUCGUG